rnacentral:rRNA from 1 species
CGGCGAGUGGCGACGGGUGAGUAAUACAUCGGAACGUGCCCUGUAGUGGGGGAUAACUAGUCGAAAGACUAGCUAAUACCGCAUACGACCUGAGGGUGAAAGUGGGGGACCGCAAGGCCUCAUGCUAUAGGAGCGGCCGAUGUCUGAUUAGCUAGUUGGUGGGGUAAAGGCCCACCAAGGCGACGAUCAGUAGCUGGUCUGAGAGGACGAUCAGCCACACUGGGACUGAGACACGGCCCAGACUCCUACGGGAGGCAGCAGUGGGGAAUUUUGGACAAUGGGGGCAACCCUGAUCCAGCAAUGCCGCGUGUGUGAAGAAGGCCUUCGGGUUGUAAAGCACUUUUGUCCGGAAAGAAAUCGCACUGGUUAAUACCUGGUGUGGAUGACGGUACCGGAAGAAUAAGGACCGGCUAACUACGUGCCAGCAGCCGCGGUAAUACGUAGGGUCCAAGCGUUAAUCGGAAUUACUGGGCGUAAAGCGUGCGCAGGCGGUUGUGCAAGACCGAUGUGAAAUCCCCGGGCUUAACCUGGGAAUUGCAUUGGUGACUGCACGGCUAGAGUGUGUCAGAGGGAGGUAGAAUUCCACGUGUAGCAGUGAAAUGCGUAGAGAUGUGGAGGAAUACCGAUGGCGAAGGCAGCCUCCUGGGAUAACACUGACGCUCAUGCACGAAAGCGUGGGGAGCAAACAGGAUUAGAUACCCUGGUAGUCCACGCCCUAAACGAUGUCAACUAGUUGUUGGGGAUUCAUUUCCUUAGUAACGUAGCUAACGCGUGAAGUUGACCGCCUGGGGAGUACGGUCGCAAGAUUAAAACUCAAAGGAAUUGACGGGGACCCGCACAAGCGGUGGAUGAUGUGGAUUAAUUCGAUGCAACGCGAAAAACCUUACCUACCCUUGACAUGCCACUAACGAAGCAGAGAUGCAUUAGGUGCUCGAAAGAGAAAGUGGACACAGGUGCUGCAUGGCUGUCGUCAGCUCGUGUCGUGAGAUGUUGGGUUAAGUCCCGCAACGAGCGCAACCCUUGUCUCUAGUUGCUACGAAAGGGCACUCUAGAGAGACUGCCGGUGACAAACCGGAGGAAGGUGGGGAUGACGUCAAGUCCUCAUGGCCCUUAUGGGUAGGGCUUCACACGUCAUACAAUGGUGCAUACAGAGGGUUGCCAAGCCGCGAGGUGGAGCUAAUCCCAGAAAAUGCAUCGUAGUCCGGAUCGUAGUCUGCAACUCGACUACGUGAAGCUGGAAUCGCUAGUAAUCGCGGAUCAGCA